CCUACGGGUCGCAGCAGUGGGGAAUAUUGCACAAUGGGCGCAAGCCUGAUGCAGCCAUGCCGCGUGUAUGAAGAAGGCCCUCGGGUUGUAAAGUACUUUCAGCGGGGAGGAAGGCGAUAAGGUUAAUAACCUUGUCGAUUGACGUUACCCGCAGAAGAAGCACCGGCUAACUCCGUGCCAGCAGCCGCGGUAAUACGGAGGGUGCAAGCGUUAAUCGGAAUUACUGGGCGUAAAGCGCACGCAGGCGGUCUGUCAAGUCGGAUGUGAAGUCCCCGGGCUCAACCUGGGAACUGCAUUCGAAACUGGCAGGCUAGAGUCUUGUAGAGGGGGGUAGAAUUCCAGGUGUAGCGGUGAAAUGCGUAGAGAUCUGGAGGAAUACCGGUGGCGAAGGCGGCCCCCUGGACAAAGACUGACGCUCAGGUGCGAAAGCGUGGGGAGCAAGCAGGAUUAGAUACCCCGGUAGUC
rnacentral:rRNA from 1 species